rnacentral:lncRNA from 1 species
AUUUUGGUCCUCAAACUAUGAGGCCUCGAUACUUUAGUCUUCAAACUUUAAUUCUUUGUAAUUUUUGACUUCAACUUUAUAAAUUGUCGCAAUCAAGUCCUACAAUCUUAUUUAGGAUGUUGCCAAAAUAUUAACAAUUUGUCGACAUAGAAGUGCUCCAGCAUCUUAAUUAUUAUCGUAUCAUCAAUUACAAUAUUUUCAUAUUAUUUCGAUAUUAACAAUUUAUAAAUAUUAUCAACUGUCUCUAGCCGAAAAAAUAAAGGGCUUAAUGAUUGGUACCUAAGGUUAUAAGUUCCGAAGCCUCGUUGUUUUACAUGUCCAAUU